rnacentral:sRNA from 1 species
GCUGGGCUUGGUGGCUCAUGUCUGUAAUCCCAGGAGCUCUGGAAGCUGAGGCAGGAGGAUCAGGAGUUCAAAGCCAGCCUCAGCAAAGCAAGGCUCUAAGAAACUCAGUGAUCCCCUGUCUCUA